rnacentral:rRNA from 1 species
GACGAACGCUGGCGGCGUGCCUAAUACAUGCAAGUUGAACGCAACAAAGACACCAGAGCUUGCUCUACCGUCUUUGUUGAGUAGCGAACGGGUGAGUAACGCGUGGGUAACCUGCCUUAUAGCGGGGGAUAACUAUUGGAAACGAUAGCUAAUACCGCAUAACAAUAGAGAUUGCAUAAUCUUUAUUUGAAAGUGCCAACUGGUACACUAUGAGAUGGACCCGCGUUGUAUUAGCUAGUUGGUAGUGUAAUGGACUACCAAGGCGAUGAUACAUAGCCGACCUGAGAGGGUGAUCGGCCACAUUGGGACUGAGACACGGCCCAAACUCCUACGGGAGGCAGCAGUAGGGAAUCUUCGGCAAUGGACGAAAGUCUGACCGAGCAACGCCGCGUGAGUGAAGAAGGUUUUCGGAUCGUAAAACUCUGUUGUUAGAGAAGAAUGUUGAUUAGAGUGGAAAAUUAAUCAAGUGACGGUAUCUAACCAGAAAGGGACGGCUAACUACGUG